ACAGUGUUUUGGGUGGUUCCCAUAACAGUUUGGUAGUUGGUUGAGUGUUUUGGGUAGUUACCUGGGUAGAGUGGUUGCUGGGCUGUUUUGGUGUCUGCAGUGUUGUUUGUUUUAGGUGGUUUCUAAGUGGUUGCUAUGGUGUUUUGGUGUUUGUUUUAGAUUGUUUCUAGGUGGUUGCUAGGGUGUUUGGGGUGGUUGAUGUGGUGUUUGUUUUAGAUGGUUUCUAGGUGUUUGCUAUGGUGUAUGUUUUAUAUGGUUUGUAGCUGGUUGCUAGUGUGUUUUUGGCUGGUUAAUAUGGUGUUUUGGGUAAUUGAUAUAUUGUUUAUUUUAAAUAGGUUUCUAGGUGGUUGCUGGGGUGUUUUGGGGUGGUUGCUAUGGUGUUUGUUUUAGAUGGUUCCUGGGUAGUUGCUGGGGUGUUUUUUGGCGGUUGCUGUGGUGUUUGUUUUAGAUGAUUUCUGGGUGGUUGCUAGGCGGGGGGGUUGGGGGGUUGGGUGGUUGCUAGGGUGUUUUGGGUGGUUGCUAUGGUGCUAGUUUUAGAUGGUUUCUAG
ensembl:lncRNA